rnacentral:rRNA from 1 species
CACGUAGUUAGCCGGGGCUUCUUAGUCAGGUACCGUCAUUAUCUUCCCUGCUGAUAGAGCUUUACAUACCGAAAUACUUCUUCACUCACGCGGCGUCGCUGCAUCAGGGUUUCCCCCAUUGUGCAACAUUCCCCACUGCUGCCUCCCGUAGGAGUCUGGGCCGUGUCUCAGUCCCAAUGUGGCCGUUCACUCUCUCAAGCCGGCUACUGAUCGUCGCCUUGGUAGGCCCGUUACCCCACCAACAAGCUAAUCAGACGCGGGUCCAUCUCACAGCGAUAAAUCUUUGAAAGGAUCGUCAUGCGGCAAUCCCUUGUAUGCGGUAUUAGCAGCCGUUUCCGGCUGUUCGUCCCCCUCUGUGAGGCAGGUUACCCACGCGUUACUCACCCGUCCGCCACUCAGUCAUUACCAUUCCUUCCCUCCGAAAAGUUCCGUCGGUAGCGUCUUCCGUUCGACUUGCAUGUGUAAGCACGCCGCCAGCGUUCAUCCUGAGCCAGGACUACAAACUUCG